rnacentral:lncRNA from 1 species
ACCCGUGAUCUCAUCGAGUUCCAACUCGGUUACACCCCAUAUGUCCUCAGACUCUCCGUGCUUUCUGCCUUCUGAAUAAGACGAUUCUGAUUGAUCCCUACCGGGUAUUAUCCAUGAUGCUUUAACCAAAGCGCAAACGAUCAUGCUAGACGCAGUUGUUCGUUUCAAUCCCUCUUUUGCCUGGACCGCCCUUUCGGGUUUUCAAUCCACCGGGA